rnacentral:rRNA from 1 species
UCGAACGCCCCGCAAGGGGAGUGGCAGACGGGUGAGUAACGCGUGGGAAUCUACCCAGAUCUUCGGAACAACUGAGGGAAACUUCAGCUAAUACCGGAUACGCCCUACGGGGGAAAGAUUUAUCGGUUCUGGAUGAGCCCGCGUUGGAUUAGCUAGUUGGUGGGGUAAUGGCCUACCAAGGCGACGAUCCAUAGCUGGUCUGAGAGGAUGAUCAGCCACACUGGGACUGAGACACGGCCCAGACUCCUACGGGAGGCAGCAGUGGGGAAUAUUGGACAAUGGGCGAAAGCCUGAUCCAGCCAUGCCGCGUGAGUGAUGAAGGCCUUAGGGUUGUAAAGCUCUUUCAGUAGGGAAGAUAAUGACGGUACCUACAGAAGAAGCCCCGGCUAACUUCGUGCCAGCAGCCGCGGUAAUACGAAGGGGGCUAGCGUUG